NNNGACCUCAGAUCGAGCGAGACUACCCGCUGAAUUUAAGCAUAUCACUAAGCGGAGGAAAAGAAACUAACCAGGAUUCCCUCAGUAGCGGCGAGUGAAGCGGGAAGAGCCCAUCGCCGAAUCUCCGCGUCCUAGCGGCGUGAGAGAAAUGUGGCGUGAGGAAGCCGUGGCUAACCGGAGACGUGGAGCCGACGUCCUUGUGAAGGAGGCUUAUCCCAUAGAGUGUGUUAGGCCCCCGCAGGCGCCGUUACCGGUGGCAUCAGGCUUCUAGGAGUCGGGUUGUUUUAGAUUGCAGCCCUAAGACGGGUGGUAAACUCCAUCCAAGGCUAAAUACCCAGCACGAGACCGAUAGUUCACAAGUACCAUGAGGGAAAGU
rnacentral:rRNA from 1 species